CCGAAGUCCAAAUAGUAACGUUGCUGCCAACAGAAAUGAACUGCCUGGAGAGAAUUCUUUAGUGACCUGUCAUCAAGGGGAGGCACAGGCAGCAGUCAUCUUGAGUAGGUUUGCAGUGGCUGGACAGGCAUCCCCAGCCUUCUAAUUUAUGGUUGUCCAUAUAGGUUGGGAGUUCCCCUGGCUAAUGGCUUCCUCCUGUAUGUGGUGUGCACAUGACUUCAAAGAGCUCAAGGGAAAGUUGGGAGCUCAGGCCUGCUGCUAAAUGGAAGUUGGAACUUCAGACAAGUUAUUUCUUUAUAUCCUGGCUUAGACAUAAAGGAAUGAUUCAGGAACUGUGAAUAGACCCAAGCUUUACAAGGAUAGAACCUGUGCUCUUCUGUUUCCAGUGUCUGGCUGAUCCUAGGGAGAUGGAGAUAUGUGGAUACUUGGUGCUCAACAGCCAGCCAGUCAAGCAUUAUCAGCAAGGUCCAGGCCAAGAAGAGACAGCUCAAAAAUUAAUUAAU